AAUGGUUUGGCGAAUUAAGUGAAACUUAGUCUGGGUACUUGCGUUAAAAGAUAUAAAUGGUUUCAUUAAUGACAUGUUUAGGUUGUUAAACGUUUUUUCUUUCCGUUUCUUCAAAUUCAUGUUUCUUCACUGAAGGGAAAAGAUACUUUCAUAAUUGCUUGAAUUGCUUUCUGUAAGUGUUUUUCAUAAUUUUAUUGCGGAAGCUGUUCUUUUUUUGUUGCAAUAUAAACACUUUGAAUUCGAAAACGAAAAUAGGAAUGUUGAGACUAGAGUAAUUCUUGGCAAACUAUUCUUAGUUUGGGUUUGACAUUUAGGGGUACAGAAAAAGUACACGAAAAACGCCAAAGACGUGGACUAGGCGUGAAAAGCAACCACUUAGGGUAGUGGCGGAAAGGGAUUUCAUAUUCUUCAAGGCAAACACGGCUGGAUUCGUGACUUCACUACUUAUGAGGAUACAAGCGGCAAUAGAAAUCAAGAGCCCGGCUUGGCUAUCCAGUAUACAUAAUAACAGGUCCGUUCAGGUCCCUCAUCAAUGGGUUACCGAAACACUGUAAAUUCCAACGUUCUAGAAUUCAAGAAUGAGCCCGGAGUUAUCACUUAAGUACGUGAUGCGAGCCCACUUGAAAUGGAGUUCGAGAUUGAUCCUUUCCA